GCUCGCUUUGCCAACACAUAUACUAAAACUGGAACGAUACAGAAAAGAUUACCAUGGCCCUUGUGCGAGGAUGACAUGCAAAUUCGUGAAAUAUCCCAUAUUUCU